rnacentral:ribozyme from 3 species
UUGUCAACUCCGCCUGUGUUGUAUUUAAACAGUCGACACAGCCGGUCCCAAGCCCGGAUAAAGGAGGAGGGUUAU